GUAGGUGAACCUGCGGAAGGAUCAUUACUGAUUUGCUUAAUUGCACCACAUGUGUUUUUCUUUGAAACAAACUUGCUUUGGCGGUGGGCCCAGCCUGCCGCCAGAGGUCUAAACUUACAACCAAUUUUUUAUUAACUUGUCACACCAGAUUAUUACUAAUAGUCAAAACUUUCAACAAUGGAUCUCUUGGUUCUC
rnacentral:misc_RNA from 1 species